rnacentral:lncRNA from 1 species
CCUUUGGGACGGGAAUAGCGUGAGGACAAGAUGAGGCCCAGAGUCUCCUGGUUUCAGUGGCAGAUCUGUCAUGAUUCUUCACCGGAGGAUUUAGAUUUAAUAAGGCUUACAAGAUUAGGAUUUUAGUUGCUGCACCCAGUGAUUGAGUUACCGUUGUUUCUGAACUAGGUUUGUGUUGUGUUUUCCUUCACGUGGUGACUCAUCUGGGUCCAAGAGAGGAAGGUAUGGCGGCAAAGCGUGGGUUUGCCUGAUGUGCACCACAAAGACCGUGGGGGAUUUGAAGCACGGGGUUGGCAUGGUAGCGACCCGCCAGUAGGAAUUUAAUAAGCUGGGUGAAAACAUUGUCGAGUUAUGAAUCAAAGUCUCCACAAGUUAAAGACAGGUCGGCCAUUCCCGCCAGUGUCUGGCCGGCCAGGCCACUGGGACAGAGGCACAAGUGAAGGACAUGACGGUUCUUUUUUUUUUAAUAUUUCCUGCAACAUGUGGCAAUAUAUGAAGUGCCAGAGGGCACAGCUCGCAUGAAGGCAGGUCCUCAUCUCUGGGACUCGUUUGUUGUGUUUUAAAGCUUUUUAGAAAAGUUAUAAAGAAAAUCCAUCUACAUGUAUCAUUUUGAUAAAAAUAAAAAAUUUAAUGUUC